GCGUCGGUAGUGCAACGGUUCAGCACGUCCCCCCCCCCCUCCCCUGAUAGGGUGAAUGCUAGGUUCGAAUCCCAACUGACGCA